rnacentral:misc_RNA from 1 species
ACCUACUGUUUAAUUUUGAGGGUUCGUUUUUACGAAUACUCAAAAUUAGCACUUUAAGCAACAGAAUAAACUGAACGCAUGUGAAGUUUGUUUGCUGGCGCUGUGCAUUAGCACUUUAAGCAACGGAAUUUAUUCGUUGGCGCUGUGCGUUAGCACUUUGAAAACUGCAUAUAUAUUUAGUGAUAUGACAUCUAAUUUGUAAUAUAUAAAGCUGAUAACUUUUUAAAAUUAUCGAAGUUGAUAGCUUCUAAUCUAUCAAACCUUUUUAACUGGUCAA